rnacentral:lncRNA from 1 species
AAAAUCGUCAAACCUCAGUCAUCAUGGCUAUUAUAACUUUACUGCUGUUGAGUGUUGUCGGAUCUGCAUUUUGCCAUGGCCCAUAUGGUGGUGGAGGCGGCGGAGGGUACAGUGCUGGGUACGGCAGCGGUGGUGGCGGAGGGCUUGGAUCUGGCGGCGGUGGCGGAGUAUUGUUAUUAGACGGUGGAUUAGGAAGAGGAGGUGGUGUUUGGGGAAAAGGAGGUAAGUUAAUGUUACUGUAUUUUAGUUUUAAACUAUAAUUACGUCAUUUCUUCUUUGAUUUGUAUAUAUUUCAUACUGUGUAAGCUAAUUCCAAAGUUGAUUGCUCUAUCGUUUUUCAAUUUUUUUUCAAGGAUAUGGUGGUGGAAGCGGCGGAGGUUAUAGUGUUGGGUAUGGCGGCGGUGGUGGCGGAGGAUUUGGAUCUGGCAUUGGUGGUGGUGGACUAUUGGUAUUAGGAGGAAGCGGAGGAGGCGGAGGUGGUGGAGGAAAAAAGGGUAAAUAAAUGUUACAGUAUUUUAAUUAUGUAUUACCAGUACGUAAGAAUCUUGUGAAAAUGUACAACUAUAAAACUAACUACAUCAACAUGAUCAAGUUUAAGAGAAGCAAUGUUACCGACAAUUGAUAAAGUACAGCGAGAGUAUAAUUGUUAUAAAAGUAAUGCAUUUAUUGAGCUAAAUCAAUUGCUCUAUGCAUGCUCGUGUACAUCUGUAUGCAUGAAAACCUCAAAUAAAGUUACCAUUUUUCUUUUAAAAUGAUAUUGGAAUUGUAAAAAAAAUAGAUUAUAAACUAACUUUAUAUACCUAUAUGGAGUUAUUUUCUUUCAGAAAGAUAGGUAAUUCUUUCGAAGAAUCAACCCGGACGAUACCAUGUUUCAAAGACAUAUGCUCCAAGGCAUAAAAUAACGACCAGUGUGAGGUCAUUAUUUUCCUUGGUGUAAAUGCAAACUAUAAUUUACUUCAAAAUCAUAUUCGUCUGAUAGUUUUUUGUUGACAAAAAUUCAAUCUAUGAUAGGUGUAAAAAAAAUAGCCCGCAUUUUAAUUCAGAAACAAAUAAUGUGAAGUUUUGUAAAUUUAUCGCUACAAUACAGAGACAUUAGCAUAUAUUAUGUUAGAUGAAUUUUAAUGUUAAACUUUCACAACACUUUCAAAUAAAGCCAUAUAACAUAGUCCUUUGUAUCAUUUUGAAAAUCUUAUUGAUUUAGAUUGAAAAUUAAUUGGUUGCAGGUUGAUCAAUGCCAUGCAUAUUCAGGACUAUACACACUGAAUAGGAAAUCAUACUGUUAGCUACAUGUUUUAUAUUCUUUUUCGUUUAAGGGUGGUACCCAACACUUUCACUAAAAUAAAUUUGGCUCGUUUAAUUUUCAUAAAAUUUUGAUAAAGUAUUUUCUUUGACCCUUUAACAGAAAUAUAAAGAUUUCAAAAAUUUUUAACCAACAGUUUUGUCAGAAAAAUUACAGUAUACUGGACGUAUAUAGGGCAGCUGAAGGUUAUAUAGUUUAGUUUGACAAACACCAUUUUUGAUCAUUGAAAAGCUUAAUAUUCCCUUUACAACACAACGUAAUUAAAACGUUAAGCUGAUUUUACAGAGUUAUCUCCCUGUAGUGUUAGGUACCACCUUAACAUGUACAUGUAUCACUAUUUCAGUCCCCCUUCAUGUCAGUUCUUAAUGUUUUAAAUUUAUGUAUAUCUUUUACUGUAUCAAAUGGUCAACAAAUAAAAUAUUCUUAUAUUAUAUUGUGAAAAAUGCAUGUAUACCUCACCAUGGGAUCGGUAGAGUGGAGUGUAUAUAAUAAUACUAAUUAUCUGUUAAAAAUGUAUUGCCUUUCAAAAGAAGAUCAUUCUGAUUAUUUCAUUCGAUUCAAUGAAAAUUGUUUAAAAAAUAAUCACUUUUCCGCGAUAAAAUUGUCAUUACAAUUUUUUGAAAAAAAACACCCCCACCUUCCUUCUUUUCAUACACUAAGUUGGUCCAGUAAAUUACUUACAAAGUGUCUUGUAUUUUUCAUACACCGUUAUAGGAUGGUAACUAUUCAUGUUUGUCUUACUUUAUGCAGUUUGAGUAAUUUGUUUAUUGUGUAUGGAUAAUAUUUAGUACGGUUUAUAUCUAGAUUAAUUAGAGAGUUUUAUUUCACAUUCUAAAUGAGCCGUAGGGCGUAUUAAAACAUGAAGGCAUUAAAAAGGUAUAUCAGUUUGGUCGGUAAACUAGGAUGCUAAAUUUUGCAAAUCUUUAAAAAAAAAAAAAAUUGUUUUAUGGUAUGUAAGUAGUAUAAUGCAAAUUUUGAGGUUUUUCUUGUCGUUGAACAUACCUCGGGAUGUCAGGAUUGCUUACUCGAUCAAUCCUCACACCCCUCGCUAUGUUCUACGACAGGAAAAACCUUAUAAUAUGCAUUGUCUAUAACGUAAUAAAAACAAGAUGAAAACAAGAAUAAGUUUAUGCGUCCGAACUGGUUUUUCAGAAACGUUCAUAGCCAAAUAUAUCAAAGCCGUAAAUGCAUGUUUAAGUUCCUAAACAUUGGAAAAGGUAAACGACAAAUAAAAUACAUAAACAAUAGCCAAAUCUAUCUAAGGUCAACUUUGCCUCAAGGAGUGAAAUCUAAGUUUCUUUAUAAUUUUAAAAUUUAUAAAUGAACAUAUUCUCAAAUUGCCUGAAGUAUAUUGAAAAUAUCUGUUGAUAUUAUUCCUUUUUACAAAGACACCGACCUGUAUUUUACUAUUAAUUUCAAGAGUUAAAUUAUCCAUAUAGCCUCAAUAUUACUUAGUUGAUUAUUGAUGCGUAUCCCUUGUUAAUCAAGAAAAUAAUUAUACAUGUAGCUAUUAAAUACAACAUGUGUUGAACAUUGUUGAUUACAGGUGGUCAAGUAUGGUGUACCUGUCGUAAGGGACAAUGUUUUAAAGGAGAAUUUGUUUUGGACAAGUAUUGCAGACUAACACCCUUAUUCCCAGGGAAAUGGACUACAUGCAGCAAGGUGUUACCAGGAAGUGUAACUGAUCGUAGUUACGGGGGAGGUGGUGGAGCUGGAUUCGGUGGCGGUGCUGGAAUCGGCGGUGGAGCUGUAAUUGUAGUUGGAUCUGGUGGAAGAGCUGGAUUCGGAGGAGGAUCUGGUGGUGUUGGCAAAUCUGGAUAUGGUGGAGGAUCUGGUUAUGGUGGAGGAUCCGGGUAUGGAAGUGGAUCUGGAUAUGGAGGUAGAAAAGGAAGUACAUACUAAACAAAAUUUGUCUAACAGAAGUUAUUUAGCAAAUGAAUGUGUUUUCUGAUAUAUGUUAAAAUACAAUUAAAACAUAUUCAUGCA